rnacentral:lncRNA from 1 species
AGACACGCCACUGUCCCAGACGGUAAGAAAAUCUUCCAAGAAUGGUACAAGAGGACAAGGAAACCGGUUUGGGGACUAUUGGUGCUGGCUGCUGCUGGGGCAGGGACAGUCACUGCCUUCAAUUGUGUGUUCACUGGGUGAGUCUACCAACUUCAGCGAAUGCUUCUAUACCCAGUGGCACGUGAACCACUGUGGUUAGACUCAAGGGGUGCAAAACAAGAAGGCAUGAAGGGGCUCGAGGGUUGUGCAGAGGUUAAGAGCACCUGUUAUUCUUGUAGAGAACCCACAUGGGGCUCACAACCAUCCAAACUGCAAUUCCAAGCAUCCAAUGCCCUUUUCUGGCCUCUGCAGGUAGCAGGCACACAUGGGGCACAUGAGUACAUUCAGGC